UUUGCGUGCUUUGUCACUGCAUUCUUUUGAAUAUGGAGUCCCUCAGUUUAUAGUAAGUGAUUUGGGUACGCAAAUAGUAGCAGGAGCCAAUAUUGUUCAGGAUUUCCUGAAGGAUGCUGAGACUGUUCAGUAUUUAACUGAUAAUAAUGUUGAGAAAGUCCAUUUUCUGCAUUACUAUAAGGGUUGUAGUCAGCUUGGAGGAUUAGUUGAGAGCGUAGUUAAAAUGACCAAGCAUAUGAUACAGAAGUCAAUCAGAAAUAAUGUCAUUGAAUUUAGGGAUUUUGAAUAUCUUGUUUGUUAUGCUGUACAUUUGAUCAAUAGAAGGCCUAUUGCAUUCAAAGAAGCAUUAAGAGAUUGUUCUAAUAAUGUACCAACCCCUAUAACGCCAGAGGAACUUAUUCAUGGAUAUUCAUUGGUCUCUUUGAAUAUUAUUCCUGCAUUACAAGCUGACCCUGAUUCUGAUGAGGAUUUUCAGGUUGAUUUUGAUGUUGUACAUAAAAUUAAAACAUCUUAUGAGAAGCUGAAACACAUUAGAACUAACUUGCUGGAAAUCUAUCAUCGGGAAUUCAUGAACACUUUAAUUAAACAAGCUACUGAUAAGAAGGAUAGAUAUGCUCCUGUAAACCAUAAACAAAUCAGUAUCGGCGAUAUUGUGCUGAUUAAGGAUGAUGGAUAUAAACCUGUUAAUUAUCCUAUGGGAAUUGUCAAAGAAGUUUUCAAGAAUAUCAACGGAGAGGUAACUGCUGCUAAAGUUCUGAAGGGUAAAACCAAUGAAAUAACUAAAAGGCAUGUUACUUCUUUAAUACCACUCUUGAGGAAGGAGUCUGAUGAGGGUGCUGUAGCAUCAGAUGAUGAUGAUGAUGAGGAUGCUGUAGCAUCGAAAGAAGAGAUUCCAGGCAUGGACGUUUCUAGAAAACGUCCACGGAGAAAAGCUGCUGAGAUAUCACGGCAAAAAUGCAAAAACAUUCUAAACGAUGAUAUUUCAGACUAAUUAUAUUUUUUCUUUAUUUGAUCAAAUUUACAUAAUUCUUAUGUAAAAUUUGAUUUCUUCCCCGGGAGUGUUGAAAAAAUAACACUAAGUUAUUUUUUUUUCUCUGUUUUUUUUUUAAUAUGGUAAUUUGGUAAGUUUGUAAAUGAUUGUUUUAUUUUAACUUGCAUUUUUAGUAUUUAAAUAGUUUUUGUUUACAUAAAAUGAUGACAAUUCCUUAAUAACCUGUUAAAAAUUAAGAUGGUUUGGGUCGUUGAAGAUAUUUGCUGCUCGUUAUACAUUUCUUACAGAAAGGAGAAGUGGACGGCUUUUAAUGAAAAUGAAGGUAGUUCUUAGCCAUUUUCACCAGUGGCAACAUUGGAUUUACUUACCUCUUUAUCGUCAUGGUGAAAAAAUAAGUGAUCGGUACCAUGGAUCCGCAUCUUACGUUACCUUCUACUUGGAAGCCUUAUCAAGAGCCAGCACAGCAAUUGUGAUUUGUUGCAUUUACAAACAGCAUACACGGACAGUAUGGGUUGUGAGGUGGUUAUUCGUUCGGCCUUACUGUAAAUUUGGCUUGUUGUAUACAAGUAAUAUACUUAAUACGCAAAGUGGACCAUUGCCUUUAGGGGUUCUUGAGAAUGGUAAUUGGAAGUUGGAGAUGCUUGACCAUCGCUUUGACCUCCAUUUAAGGCGAUCAUCUUCGACAGCAGCAACAACAGCAUUGGGUUUAAUUUGAGCAGCUAUACAUGAAACCAUUUUAUUAUAUCUUAUUCAAGUUCAUAAUUUUAUGAAGGUUUCAUUAAAAUAAGAAAAUUA